UUGCAAGGAUGAAACCCAUAAGGAAUCAUCGAAAAAAGCAUUUAAAGUGAAUGCUUGAUGUGAUUAUACAAUCCUGAGCGGUUACCUGAGCAA
rnacentral:snoRNA from 1 species